AUUGUCAAGACUCAUUCGCAAUAUAGGAUGACCAUGGAAGUCCAAAUUUUUCUAUUUAACUAUGCACAGGGUCAAAGGGAAGAGUGUUAACCUGCCCUUCGCCACCUACAAGCGAUUGAUUAAAUCUUCUUUCUUAAAUGAUUUAGAAAAAGGGUAGGAUCUUAAGACAAAAUAGGUUCGGUUAGAUUCUUUUGGUAAUAAUAAGAAUCAGGGUAUUUAAAAUUGAAAGGGGCAGGCACUGUAAUCUCUUUUGAACCCCGUGAGAAACCAACACAAGCCAACCAGCGGGAAAGGAAAAGCUAUCAAUCACAAUAGGCGCGGGAGAAAAGGUCUUUUAGGGUAGUAAUAGUGGGCUUUGCUUCUUUCAGGUCUGGUUGCAAGCUUGGGAGUGGGAUUUCUAAGGAACUACAUUUAAUUGAUUUGCUUAUCGAAAUUAUGUUUAUGAACUAAACCUGCAUAUGUAUGUUAUGCUUUCCCUAAGGCAAUUAUAGUAGGUACCCCAAUAUAUGGGUAAAAAUAUCAAGAAAGAAGUGCAUUGCUGCCCGCAUUGAAUUUGAUUUGAAAAAAAAAGCUUUCCUCACCCUUUCUGGGAGAGACUCUGUUGGUUUAAAUUUGACCUAAAGGAGAGGUUUAGAAUAUACUCGACCAAUAGAGAGAGGAGAGAUAGGCCACUUCAAAAGAGCGACUACGUACCUCUCA
rnacentral:lncRNA from 1 species